UACGUAGGGUGCGAGCGUUGUCCGGAAUUAUUGGGCGUAAAGAGCUCGUAGGUGGUUCGGUAAGUCGGGUGUUAAACCCCCAGGCUCAACCUGGGGACGCCACUCGAUACUGCUGUGACUAGAGUCCGGUAGGGGAGCGUGGAAUUCCUGGUGUAGCGGUGAAAUGCGCAGAUAUCAGGAGGAACACCAGCGGCGAAGGCGGCGCUCUGGGCCGGUACUGACACUGAGGAGCGAAAGCGUGGGUAGCAAACAGG
rnacentral:rRNA from 1 species